CAGACUCUGAUAUAGAAGCAUUCAUCUCCACCUGAAGAUCAGCAGUGGUCUUCCUUCUGGCUCUGGUACUGAAAAUCUUGAGUUAUCUCACAUCUGCUUCAGUUAC